rnacentral:rRNA from 1 species
GACGAACGCUGGCGGCGUGCUUAACACAUGCAAGUCGAACGGAAAGGCCCUGCUUUUGUGGGGUGCUCGAGUGGCGAACGGGUGAGUAACACGUGAGUAACCUGCCCUUUACUUUGGGAUAACUUCAGGAAACUGGGGCUAAUACCGGAUAGGAGCUCCUGCUGCAUGGUGGGGGUUGGAAAGUUUCGGCGGUUGGGGAUGGACUCGCGGCUUAUCAGCUUGUUGGUGGGGUAGUGGCUUACCAAGGCUUUGACGGGUAGCCGGCCUGAGAGGGUGACCGGCCACAUUGGGACUGAGAUACGGCCCAGACUCCUACGGGAGGCAGCAGUGGGGAAUAUUGCACAAUGGGCGGAAGACUGAUGCAGCAACGCCGCGUGCGGGAUGACGGCCUUCGGGUUGUAAACCGCUUUCGCCUGUGACGAAGCGUGAGUGACGGUAAUGGGUAAAGAAGCACCGGCUAACUACGUG